rnacentral:lncRNA from 1 species
UAUUAUUAACCCACAAAGGGGUGUGGUCAAAUGAUUUGCUGCUGAUAAAUAGGCAGAACACAAACUCAUCAUUACACUAUUGUCUUUCUACAUUAAAUCAACCUCUUCAUCCUUCUUAUCAUUCAGUUAGGCCUCAUUUGGGGACGACAGGUAGCCUAGUGGUUAGAGUGGAGGGGCGGCAGGUAGCCUAGUGGUUAGAGUGGAGGGACCGUCAGGUAGCCUAGUGGUUAGAGUGGAGGGACGGCAGGAAGCCUAGUGGUUAGAGUGUAGAGGCGGCAGGUAGCCUAGUGGUUAGAGUGGAGAGGCGGCAGGAAGCCUAGUGGUUAGAGUGUAGAGGCGGCAGGUAGCCUAGUGGUUAGAGUGGAGAGGCGGCAGGUAGCCUAGUGGUUAGAGUGGAGGGACGGCAGGUAGCCUAGUGGUUAGAGUGGAGGGGCGGCAGGUAGCCUAGUGGUUAGAGUGGAGAGGCGGCAGGUAGCCUAGUGGUUAGAGUGGGGGACGGCAGGUAGCCUAGUGGUUAGAGUGUAGAGGUGGCAGGUAGCCUAGUGGUUAGAGUGUAGAGGUGGCAGGUAGUCUAGUGGUUAGAGUGUAGAGGCGGCAGGUAGUCUAGUGGUUCGAGUGUAGAGGCGGCAGGUAGCCAAAUGGUUAGAGUGUUGAGCCAGUACUUGAAAGGUUGCUGGAUCGAAUCCCC